UUACUGCGUUACCUCGCAUUGUGUGUUGUGUGUCGCGGUUACUGACGUAAGCGCAAGUUCUUCACUGAGUAUGAUCCGCGGCACCGUGCAAGUAGUCUCCAGAUGCCGGCCGUGCGACUCCGUUCUCUUCGACUCCUUUGUUCGGUGUGAUCGAGGGACGUGAUUCAUAGCUUUGCAGACCCUCUUUACACCGUGCCCUCUUCAAAUGUUUCCACACAUCAGUGAGCAGCAGCACCGCAAUCCUUACUCGAUGACACGCUCUGUGGGCCUGGAAAAUGCCUUGACGUUCGAGCACUUCGGGAGCUGUACCGGCGGACAGCCGGACGCGGGUAGCUUGGCCGUUCCUUGCUCUGCGCAUCGCUUGAAAACCGGCGGUCAUCCUGCAGUGUACGCUGCCAGCGUGCUUUCUUGCCAGAGCCGCCUCCCCUGCUGGUGAUGACCAUAUGCAGCCAAUGCUGAUGUGAACCCGAGUGAUGAACAAAUGCAGAUCUGCAAAGGAGCUGUCCUGAGGCACCAUGCUUACUCAAGUCAUGCAGCGAGAGUCAGCAUGCCUGGAAAAGUACUUCAAAA